AUUCCUUCAAACAAACACAAUGCAGUAAAGAUAAACUUUUACAACAAGCAAACUAAACUUGGGAUUCAAGCAUUACCUUUUACCAAUAUGCAUAUAUGUUUAGCAAACUGCAGCAGUAACCAGAAACCAUCAUAUCAUUAGGAACCAAAUCCAUCAUCUCAUCCAUCAUCUCUCACUCCGAAGCGAACACCUUAGCAAUCUUCUCAGUUGGCACAAUUGGCAGGUAAGCUGAGACUGCAUAUCCCCUCUCGGCGCCAUAGCACACAGCCUGAUUGUACUUCUCAGUCCAGCAGGCCGCAGUCGGGAUCACAAUCUGCGCCACCUGCGGGAACACCGGCAUCUGGUUCAACGACCGCCAUGCCGUUACCGCAUACCGCUCCGCCACAGGCUCAUACUUCACAUACAUCUCCUUCGCCGCCGGCUCAUACUUCCCAUACACACUCCUGGCAAUCUCCACUGCCGUCCCAACCACUCCCGCUUUCUGCACCUCCCCCGCCACGGAUCGAACAAUCUCCGGCGCCUUCUGCGCGGAAGCAUACACCUCCUUCACCCUCUCCGGUACAUGGUGCUCCAGCAGGUUGACAGCCUCCUCCACCUUGCGAUCAGCGAACGUGAGGAGGUCGAGAGGGACGUUGUGGAAUUUGUUGACCACUGGGCCGACGACGGUCUUGACGGUGCCCUCGACGGAUUCGACUCCGGCCUUCACCGGCCCGGCGUUGUCCUUGGCGUAGCUGUAGAGGGAGGAGAAGCAGAUCACCGCCUGGAUCGCUGCAGCGCGGACGAAAUCGAGGUACUUGAGAUUCUUUACCUCGAUCUCCUCAUUAAUCUGAUCAGGUUGAGCGGCGGCCAUUGAGAUUCUUCGAUCGAGAUUAAGAAUUUGGGGGUUGGAGGAGAUGGAUGGAUGA
rnacentral:misc_RNA from 1 species